UGUAAUUAGUCCAAGUGCCGAGAGUAAAAGGCCAAGGGCUCAGCCCCAGUGGGAAAUCUUCCCCAGUCACCCCUCCCCCACCAAAGCUCAGGCAAUGCCUUAGAAGAGGAGGUGGAAAGACCUGAAGAUCUGGAAGACAAGGAAGAGUUCAGGGAAAUGCUGUCUGGCCAUCACGUAGCUACCAUAAUCAUCGCCUCUAAGCAGCUAUGGUUUACCUGCCCAAGAAGUGCACAAAAGCCAGCCAGGCUCAUCCUAAUUACACCUAAAUACUUCUUCCAUGGCGCGAGUGGGCGGGCAGGCAGAUACUGCCAGAAGGUCAUUGCGCCGCACGUAGAGUCCAGCACUCGCCAAAGUGUACAGUGUCUUCAACAGUCGUAAGGUUUGGCUGUGUAAUUAGGAUGAGAAAGGUGCUCUUCAGGCUCCAUUUCUUACCAAGAGUGAUUGGCAGUCAACAGUUGUCGGAACGUGAAUGUGAUGACUAGUCUGCUCCUGAGUCCAUAGAACAUAGCUAAGGGAUGUGACUACAGUAGAAGGCAGCAGAGACUUGGGAACAUUUGGAGUAUACAGGUCCAAUGCCAGCUUUGACCUGCCUACCUCGGAGCACACCUACGAGAAAGUAAUAAAAUUGCAUUCCUUUUACA